GACGAACGCUGGCGGCGUGCCUAAUACAUGCAAGUUGAGCGCUGAAGGUUGGUACUUGUACCAACUGGAUGAGCAGCGAACGGGUGAGUAACGCGUGGGGAAUCUGCCUUUGAGCGGGGGACAACAUUUGGAAACGAAUGCUAAUACCGCAUAAAAACUUUAAACACAAGUUUUAAGUUUGAAAGAUGCAAUUGCAUCACUCAAAGAUGAUCCCGCGUUGUAUUAGCUAGUUGGUGAGGUAAAGGCUCACCAAGGCGAUGAUACAUAGCCGACCUGAGAGGGUGAUCGGCCACAUUGGGACUGAGACACGGCCCAAACUCCUACGGGAGGCAGCAGUAGGGAAGCUUCGGCAAUGGACGAAAGUCUGACCGAGCAACGCCGCGUGAGUGAAGAAGGUUUUCGGAUCGUAAAACUCUGUUGGUAGAGAAGAACGUUGGUGAGAGUGGAAAGCUCAUCAAGUGACGGUAACUACCCAGAAAGGGACGGCUAACUACGU
rnacentral:rRNA from 1 species